rnacentral:rRNA from 1 species
GAGUUUGAUCGUGGCUCAGGAUGAACGCUGGCGGCGUGCCUAAUACAUGCAAGUCGAGCGAACGGACGAGAAGCUUGCUUCUCUGAUGUUAGCGGCGGACGGGUGAGUAACACGUGGGUAACCUACCUAUAAGACUGGGAUAACUCCGGGAAACCGGGGCUAAUACCGGAUAACACAUGAAACCGCAUGGUUUCAUGAUGAAAGACGGUCUUGCUGUCACUUAUAGAUGGAUCCGCGCUGCAUUAGCUAGUUGGUAAGGUAACGGCUUACCAAGGCAACGAUGCAUAGCCGACCUGAGAGGGUGAUCGGCCACACUGGAACUGAGACACGGUCCAGACUCCUACGGGAGGCAGCAGUAGGGAAUCUUCCGCAAUGGGCGAAAGCCUGACGGAGCAACGCCGCGUGAGUGAUGAAGGUCUUCGGAUCGUAAAACUCUGUUAUUAGGGAAGAACAUAUGUGUAAGUAACUGUGCACAUCUUGACGGUACCUAAUCAGAAAGCCACGGCUAACU